UACGAAGGGUGCAAACGUUGCUCGGAAUUAUUGGGCGUAAAGCGCACGUAGGCGGCUUAGCAAGUCGGAAGUGAAAGCCCUCGGCUCAACCAAGGAAGUGCUUUCGAAACUGCUGAGCUUGAGUAGUUAAGAGGAUCGCGGAAUUCCCGGUGUAGAGGUGAAAUUCGUAGAUAUCGGGAGGAACACCAGUGGCGAAGGCGGCGAUCUGGGAACAUACUGACGCUGAGGUGCGAAAAGCGUGGGGAGCAAACAGG
rnacentral:rRNA from 1 species